rnacentral:rRNA from 1 species
AUUGAACGCUGGCGGCAGGCCUAACACAUGCAAGUCGAACGAGUGGCGGACGGGUGAGUAAUGUCUGGGAAACUGCCCGAUGGAUGGGGAUAACUACUGGAAACGGUCUCUAAUACCGCAUACCAUCGGAUGUGCCCAUAUGGGAUUAGCUUGUAGGUGAGGUAACGGCUCACCUCGGAGCCGAUCCCUAGCUGGUCUGAGAGGAUGACCAGCAACACGGGAACUGAGACACGGUCCCGACUCCUACGGGAGGCAGCGGGGGGGAAUAUUGCACAAGGGGCGAAAGCGUGUUCCAGCCAAGCCGCGUGUAUGAAGAAGGCCUUCGGGUUGUAAAGUACUUUCAGCUGGGAGGCGUUACCCGAAGAAGAAGCACCGGCUAACUCCGUGCCAGCAGCCGCGGUAAUUC